rnacentral:rRNA from 1 species
AGAGUUUGAUCCUGGCUCAGAUUGAACGCUGGCGGCAGGCUUAACACAUGCAAGUCGAGCGGAGAGAGGUAGCUUGCUACUGAUCUUAGCGGCGGACGGGUGAGUAAUGCUUAGGAAUCUGCCUAUUAGUGGGGGACAACAUCUCGAAAGGGAUGCUAAUACCGCAUACGUCCUACGGGAGAAAGCAGGGGAUCUUCGGACCUUGCGCUAAUAGAUGAGCCUAAGUCGGAUUAGCUAGUUGGUGGGGUAAAGGCCUACCAAGGCGACGAUCUGUAGCGGGUCUGAGAGGAUGAUCCGCCACGCUGGGACUGAGACACGGCCCAGACUCCUACGGGAGGCAGCAGUGGGGAAUAUUGGACAAUGGGGGGAACCCUGAUCCAGCCAUGCCGCGUGUGUGAAGAAGGCCUUAUGGUUGUAAAGCACUUUAAGCGAGGAGGAGGCUACUUUAGUUAAUACCUAGAGAUAGUGGACGUUACUCGCAGAAUAAGCACCGGCUAACUCUGUGCCAGCAGCCGCGGUAAUACAGAGGGUGCAAGCGUUAAUCGGAUUUACUGGGCGUAAAGCGCGCGUAGGCGGCUAAUUAAGUCAAAUGUGAAAUCCCCGAGCUUAACUUGGGAAUUGCAUUCGAUACUGGUUAGCUAGAGUGUGGGAGAGGAUGGUAGAAUUCCAGGUGUAGCGGUGAAAUGCGUAGAGAUCUGGAGGAAUACCGAUGGCGAAGGCAGCCAUCUGGCCUAACACUGACGCUGAGGUGCGAAAGCAUGGGGAGCAAACAGGAUUAGAUACCCUGGUAGUCCAUGCCGUAAACGAUGUCUACUAGCCGUUGGGGCCUUUGAGGCUUUAGUGGCGCAGCUAACGCGAUAAGUAGACCGCCUGGGGAGUACGGUCGCAAGACUAAAACUCAAAUGAAUUGACGGGGGCCCGCACAAGCGGUGGAGCAUGUGGUUUAAUUCGAUGCAACGCGAAGAACCUUACCUGCCUUGACAUAGUAAGAACUUUCCAGAGAUGGAUUGGUGCCUUCGGGAACUUACAUACAGGUGCUGCAUGGCUGUCGUCAGCUCGUGUCGUGAGAUGUUGGGUUAAGUCCCGCAACGAGCGCAACCCUUUUCCUUAUUUGCCAGCGAGUAAUGUCGGGAACUUUAAGGAUACUGCCAGUGACAAACUGGAGGAAGGCGGGGACGACGUCAAGUCAUCAUGGCCCUUACGGCCAGGGCUACACACGUGCUACAAUGGUCGGUACAAAGGGUUGCUACACAGCGAUGUGAUGCUAAUCUCAAAAAGCCGAUCGUAGUCCGGAUUGGAGUCUGCAACUCGACUCCAUGAAGUCGGAAUCGCUAGUAAUCGCGGAUCAGAAUGCCGCGGUGAAUACGUUCCCGGGCCUUGUACACACCGCCCGUCACACCAUGGGAGUUUGUUGCACCAGAAGUAGCUAGCCUAACUGCAAAGAGGGCGGUUACCACGGUGUGGCCGAUGACUGGGGUGAAGUCGUAACAAGGUAACCA